rnacentral:rRNA from 1 species
UACAGAGGGUGCAAGCGUUAAUCGGAAUUACUGGGCGUAAAGCGCGCGUAGGUGGUUUGUUAAGUUGGAUGUGAAAUCCCCGGGCUCAACCUGGGAACUGCAUUCAAAACUGACAAGCUAGAGUAUGGUAGAGGGUGGUGGAAUUUCCUGUGUAGCGGUGAAAUGCGUAGAUAUAGGAAGGAACACCAGUGGCGAAGGCGACUACCUGGCCUGUUCUUGACGCUGAGGCGCGAAAGCUAGGGGAGCAAACGGG